GAAGAUUAUUGCCUGUGAGCUUGAUUUAAGGGAACGCCAGGUGAAGACGUGGUUCCAGAACAGAAGAGCGAAAGAGAAACGUCGACGAGGCAGUACGAAGAAUAAAGACGAAGAUAACAAAGAAAUAGAAGAGAAUAAGGAAGAAGAGAAGAAAAUCGAGAAAGUGAAGGAACACUUGAUAAAGAAUGAGGAGAAUAAGUGAUAAUGGAUAAAAGGCAGAAUGACU